CGGCCCGAGCCCGGUGCGCGGCCCCUCAGCGGCCCCUCAGCGCCGCCAUUACCGGCCCGCAACUGACACGGAGCGGCGGCGGCGGCGGCGCACAGGAAACUCUCGCGAGAACCGGCUCGCCGCCGACCUUCCCAGCAUGGCGCCGUCCCGCCGGGCCCCCUCGGCGCCGGCCGCCAUCUUGGGUGUGGCACGGCAGCCCUGCCCUCCCUCAGCCUCGGGAGAGCCUGGUCCUCCAAUAUUUCCCUCGAAGCUUUUCUUUUUCUCCUCACAGUUCUACAAGCUCGACCUGCCGGAUGAGGAGAAAAAAAAUGCCUGAGCAUGGAAAGACAAGCACAAGUCCAGUGGGAAAGAGUGGUAAGCAGUACCAAAUUCCCUCCUGAGUCCUCGAAGAGCAAACUUGUUGCUCCCAAAUGCAGGAGACUGUAAAUAAUAAUAAUAGUAAUAAUAAUAAUAAUAAUAAUAAUAAUAAUAAUAGCAAUUUCAGUCAAUGAAAACAAUAUUACUGCAAUGUAUGGGAGCCCUGAUUGCAGACUAGGGCAAAUUAAAUUUUUACAUUCCCCAUCAUUGCAUAGUGUUUGCUUAAAAUUACUGCUUAAUAUUGCUGGAUUGGCAGCCUAUUUAAAUUAUUCAGCACUUUCGUAAUGUACUGCCUCUUUAAUUAUGCUUUUAAACAGAGUUUCUCUUUUCUGCUUGGAAGCAGUUAGUCUAGUUUCACGCUCCUCCUUCUCCAGGCAAACCAGGCAUCACUUUAGGAUUUUCUCAAACAUGGAAAUUAUUUAGUCUCAGCCGAAUAUAAAUUAAAAGGUUUGUAUUCUGGUCUUGCUCGUGUUUGUUCUCUGCCAGUGGAACCUAACUGAAACACUUUAGAUUACACUUUCAAAGAUUCCCUUUGCAGUGAGUUGGAAAGCUCUGAUGGGCAAACGUCCUCCGCGAGACUAGAAGGAGAUUCUUGUGGAAAACUCAAUCAAUCACCUUGUGAAAUUCUCAGCGAUCAGAAAUAAAGAAACCGUUUACCUGCA
rnacentral:lncRNA from 1 species